GGACUACUGGGGUAUCUAAUCCUGUUCGCUCCCCACGCUUUCGCUCCUCAGCGUCAGUAUCGGCCCAGAGACCCGCCUUCGCCACCGGUGUUCCUCCUGAUAUCUGCGCAUUUCACCGCUACACCAGGAAUUCCAGUCUCCCCUACCGAACUCGAGCCUGCCCGUAUCGACCGCAGGCUUAGGGUUGAGCCCCAAGUUUUCACGAUCGACGCGACAAGCCGCCUACGAGCUCUUUACGCCCAAUAAAUCCGGACAACGCUCGCGCCCUACGUCUUACCGCGGCUGCUGGCAC
rnacentral:rRNA from 1 species